AACGAACGUUAGCGGCGCGCCUAACACAUGCAAGUCGAGCGAGAAAGGGCUUCGGCCCCGGUAAAGCGGCGCACGGGUGAGUAACACGUAGGCAAUCUGCCUCUGAGUGGUGGAUAACCU
rnacentral:rRNA from 1 species